rnacentral:rRNA from 1 species
UACGGAGGGCGCAAACGUUAUCCGGAUUCACUGGGUUUAAAGGGUGCGUAGGUGGGCAAGUAAGUCAGUGGUGAAAUCUCCGGGCUUAACCCGGAAACUGCCAUUGAUACUAUUUGUCUUGAAUACUGUGGAGGUCAGCGGAAUAUGUCAUGUAGCGGUGAAAUGCUUAGAUAUGACAUAGAACACCAAUUGCGAAGGCAGCUGGCUACACAAAUAUUGACACUGAGGCACGGAAGCGUGGGGAUCAAACAGG